GAUGAACGCUGGCGGCGUGCCUAAUACAUGCAAGUCGAGCGAACGGACGAGAAGCUUGCUUCUCUGAUGUUAGCGGCGGACGGGUGAGUAACACGUGGAUAACCUACCUAUAAGACUGGGAUAACUUCGGGAAACCGGAGCUAAUACCGGAUAAUAUUUUGAACCGCAUGGUUCAAAAGUGAAAGACGGUCUUGCUGUCACUUAUAGAUGGAUCCGCGCUGCAUUAGCUAGUUGGUAAGGUAACGGCUUACCAAGGCAACGAUGCAUAGCCGACCUGAGAGGGUGAUCGGCCACACUGGAACUGAGACACGGUCCAGACUCCUACGGGAGGCAGCAGUAGGGAAUCUUCCGCAAUGGGCGAAAGCCUGACGGAGCAACGCCGCGUGAGUGAUGAAGGUCUUCGGAUCGCUAAACUCUGUUAUUAGGGAAGAACAUAUGUGUAAGUAACUGUGCACAUCUUGACCGUCCCCAAUCCAAAAGCCCCCGGCUAACUACGUGCCAGCAGCCGCGGUAAUACGUAGUGGCCAAGCGUUAUCCGGAAUAUGGGGCGUAAAGCGCGCGUAGGCGGUUUUUUAGUCUGAUGUGAAAGCCCACGGCUCAACCGUGGAGGGUCAUUGGAAACUGGAAAACUUGAGUGCAGAAGAGGAAAGUGGAAUUCCAUGUGUAGCGGUGAAAUGCGCAGAGAUAUGGAGGAACACCAGUGGCGAAGGCGACUUUCUGGUCUGUAACUGACGCUGAUGUGCGAAAGCGUGGGGAUCAAACAGGAUUAGAUACCCUGGUAGUCCACGCCGUAAACGAUGAGUGCUAAGUGUUAGGGGGUUUCCGCCCCUUAGUGCUGCAGCUAACGCAUUAAGCACUCCGCCUGGGGAGUACGACCGCAAGGUUGAAACUCAAAGGAAUUGACGGGGACCCGCACAAGCGGUGGAGCAUGUGGUUUAAUUCGAAGCAACGCGAAGAACCUUACCAAAUCUUGACAUCCUUUGACAACUCUAGAGAUAGAGCCUUCCCCUUCGGGGGACAAAGUGACAGGUGGUGCAUGGUUGUCGUCAGCUCGUGUCGUGAGAUGUUGGGUUAAGUCCCGCAACGAGCGCAACCCUUAAGCUUAGUUGCCAUCAUUAAGUUGGGCACUCUAAGUUGACUGCCGGUAACAAACCGGAGGAAGGUGGGGAUGACGUCAAAUCAUCAUGCCCCUUAUGAUUUGGGCUACACACGUGCUACAAUGGACAAUACAAAGGGCAGCGAAACCGCGAGGUCAAGCAAAUCCCAUAAAGUUGUUCUCAGUUCGGAUUGUAGUCUGCAACUCGACUACAUGAAGCUGGAAUCGCUAGUAAUCGUAGAUCAGCAUGCUACGGUGAAUACGUUCCCGGGUCU
rnacentral:rRNA from 1 species